rnacentral:rRNA from 1 species
UACGGAGGGGGCUAGCGUUGUUCGGAAUUACUGGGCGUAAAGCGCGCGUAGGCGGCUUUGCAAGUCAGAGGUGAAAGCCCGGGGCUCAACCCCGGAAUUGCCUUUGAGACUGCAUCGCUUGAACAUCGGAGAGGUAAGUGGAAUUCCGAGUGUAGAGGUGAAAUUCGUAGAUAUUCGGAAGAACACCAGUGGCGAAGGCGACUUACGGGACGAGUGUUGACGCUGAGGUGCGAAAGCGUGGGGAGCAAACAGG